UUCACCAGUGGCGUCUCCCUCUUCAAGAGCUUCCAGGGCACCUUGUGGCGGCGCCGGUGCAUCUGAAGGUUCUGGUCCCGCUGGAAUCCCUGGUUGCAGAUCUCACAGACGAAACGAUCUGAUUCAAGCAAGGUCUUGGGUCGGGCAAAUAUCAGCUUUACCACCCAAAUCUUUAAGCUUUCUGCCUGAAAAGAAGAAAAAGAAAGAGUAUAUCCACAAAUACUGAACCAAGAUUCAUGCAUAAACACUUCGAUUUUAUUUUAUUUUAUAGAUAUUAAAAUUCCUUUUCAAAUUUCUCA